rnacentral:rRNA from 1 species
GACGAACGCUGGCGGCGUGCUUAACACAUGCAAGUCGAACGGUGAAGCUCCAGCUUGCUGGAGUGGAUCAGUGGCGAACGGGUGAGUAACACGUGAGCAACCUGCCCCUGACCCUGGAAUAAGCGCUGGAAACGGCGUCUAAUACUGGAUACGAGAAGGGUCCGCAUGGGCACUUUCUGGAAAGUUUUUCGGUUGGGGAUGGGCUCGCGGCCUAUCAGCUUGUUGGUGAGGUAAUGGCUCACCAAGGCGACGACGGGUAGCCGGCCUGAGAGGGCGACCGGCCACACUGGGACUGAGACACGGCCCAGACUCCUACGGGAGGCAGCAGUGGGGAAUAUUGCACAAUGGGCGAAAGCCUGAUGCAGCGACGCCGCGUGAGGGAUGACGGCCUUCGGGUUGUAAACCUCUUUCAGCAGGGAAGAAGCGAAAGUGACGGUACCUGCAGAAGAAGCACCGGCUAACUACGUG